UACAGAGGGUGCGAGCGUUAAUCGGAUUUACUGGGCGUAAAGCGUGUGUAGGUGGCUUCCUAAGUCGGUUGUGAAAUCCCUGGGCUCAACCUGGGAAUUGCAGUCGAUACUGGGAAGCUCGAGUUCGGUAGAGGGUGACGGAAUUCCCGGUGUAGCGGUGAAAUGCGUAGAUAUCAAGAGGAACACCUGAGGUGAAGACGGGUUGCUGGGCUGACACUGACGCUGAGGCGCGAAAGCCAGGGGAGCAAACGGG
rnacentral:rRNA from 1 species